GACAGAGGGUGCAAACGUUGCUCGGAUUUACUGGGCGUAAAGGGCGCGUAGGUGGUUGCGUAAGUGAGUUGUGAAAUCCCCGGGCUUAACCUGGGAACUGCAACUUAUACUGCGUAGCUGGAGUGCAAUAGAGGGUAGUGGAAUUUCCGGUGUAGCGGUGAAAUGCGUAGAUAUCGGAAGGAACACCAGUGGCGAAGGCGGCUACCUGGAUUGACACUGACACUGAGGCGCGAGAGCGUGGGGAGCAAACAGG
rnacentral:rRNA from 1 species